rnacentral:misc_RNA from 1 species
GAUGAAGAACGUAGCGAAACGCGAUAUGUAAUGUGAAUUGCAGAAUUCAGUGAAUCAUCGAAUUUUUGAACGCACAUGGCGCCUUCCAGUAUCCUGGGAGGCAUGCCUGUCCGAGCGUCGUUUCAACCCUCGAGCCCCCGUGGCCCGGCGUUGGGGAUCUGCCCAGGCAGUCCCCGAAAACCAGUGGCGGACCCGUUACAGGCCCUUCCCUUGCGUAGUAGCAUUCGCCUCGCAUCGGGAGCCGGCGGGCUUCCAGCCUCUAAACCCCCAUCAAGUCCGCCCCGGCGGCACCAAGGUUGACCUCGGAUCAGGUAGGAAUACCCGCUGAACUUAAGCAUAUCAAUAAGCGGAGGA